rnacentral:rRNA from 1 species
ACGGUAGGGGCAGAAGAAGCACCGGCUAACUACGUGCCAGCAGCCGCGGUAAUACGUAGGGUGCGAGCGUUGUCCGGAAUUAUUGGGCGUAAAGAGCUUGUAGGCGGUUUGUCGCGUCUGCUGUGAAAGCCCGGGGCUUAACUCCGGGUCUGCAGUGGGUACGGGCAGGCUAGAGUGUGGUAGGGGAGACUGGAAUUCCUGGUGUAGCGGUGGAAUGCGCAGAUAUCAGGAGGAACACCGAUGGCGAAGGCAGGUCUCUGGGCCAUGACUGACGCUGAGAAGCGAAAGCGUGGGGAGCGAACAGGAUUAGAUACCCUGGUAGUCCACGCCGUAAACGUUGGGCGCUAGGUGUGGGUCCCAUUCCACGGGGUCCGUGCCGCAGCUAACGCAUUAAGCGCCCCGCCUGGGGAGUACGGCCGCAAGGCUAAAACUCAAAGGAAUUGACGGGGGCCCGCACAAGCGGCGGAGCAUGCGGAUUAAUUCGAUGCAACGCGAAGAACCUUACCAAGGCUUGACAUACACCGGACGAUCGCAGAGAUGUGGCUUCCCUUUGUGGCUGGUGUACAGGUGGUGCAUGGUUGUCGUCAGCUCGUGUCGUGAGAUGUUGGGUUAAGUCCCGCAACGAGCGCAACCCUCGUUCCAUGUUGCCAGCAACACCUUUGGGUGGUUGGGGACUCAUGGGAGACUGCCGGGGUCAACUCGGAGGAAGGUGGGGAUGACGUCAAAUCAUCAUGCCCCUUACGUCUUGGCUUCACGCAUGCUACAAUGGCCGGUACAAAGGGCUGCGAUCCCGUGAGGGGGAGCGAAUCCCAGAAAGCCGGUCUCAGUUCGGAUUGGGGUCUGCAACUCGACCC